GCCAGUGUGUUGGAAUUGGUAGACAAAGCGGAUUCAAAAUCCGCCGCUAGCAAUAGCGUGGCGGUUCGAGUCCGCCCACUGGUACCA
rnacentral:tRNA from 1 species